rnacentral:rRNA from 1 species
UAAGGAAUAUUGGUCAAUGGACGCAAGUCUGAACCAGCCAUGCCGCGUGGAGGAUUAAGGCCCUCUGGGUUGUAAACUCCUUUUAUCUGGGAAGAAAUGUACUUUCUCUUGAGUACUUGACGGUACCAGAGGAAUAAGCACCGGCUAACUCCGUGCCAGCAGCCGCGGUAAUACGGAGGGUGCAAGCGUUAUCCGGAUUCACUGGGUUUAAAGGGUGCGUAGGUGGGCAGGUAAGUCAGUGGUGAAAUCUCCGGGCUUAACCCGGAAACUGCCGUUGAUACUAUUUGUCUUGAAUAUUGUGGAGGUAAGCGGAAUAUGUCAUGUAGCGGUGAAAUGCUUAGAUAUGACAUAGAACACCAAUUGCGAAGGCAGCUUACUACACAAUCAUUGACGCUGAGGCACGAAAGCGUGGGGAUCAAACA